UGGGGAAUAUUGCACAAUGGGCGCAAGCCUGAUGCAGCGACGCCGCGUGGAGGAUGAAGGUUUUCGGAUUGUAAACUCCUGUUAAGUGGGAAGAAAGACGCGUACCUAAUACGUACGUGGGAUGACGGUACCACUAGAGAAAGCACCGGCAAACUUCGUGCCAGCAGCCGCGGUAAUACGAAGGGUGCGAGCGUUAUUCGGAAUAACUGGGCGUAAAGAGCGUGAAGGCGGUUUUCUAAGUCACUUGUUAAAUGGUUCAGCUUAACUGAGCGCAUGCGGGUGAGACUGGGAGGCUAGAGUGCAGGAGAGAAAGGUAGAAUUCUCGGAGUAGCGGUAAAAUGCGUAGAUCUCGAGAGGAAUACCGGUUGCGAAGGCGGCCUUUUGGCCUGUAACUGACGCU
rnacentral:rRNA from 1 species